ensembl:lncRNA
UUUUUGAGUUAGACCACUUUGAGCCAUGUUUUUCUUUGCCACCAAAAGAAUGCAAAGAACUGAAUUUAAUAAUUGGUGCAGUGACCCGGAUUCUUUUGCGGCUGAGAGGACUAAUUCGGAGCUUAAGGUACAAUCUGAUAUGAGGCGGACAACAGACCGGUCUAAAAAGAUUUAAAGGACGGCGGUGUGACCCCCAGGAGUGCACACAAGUUCAGAGGUGAGAACCUCCCCCUUCGCUCCGGUAUCUCAGUUGACCACACUGCCAAGACUUGGGACCUUGGUUAAUUGUCAGUGGUCAGGGACCACUUUAGUGCGCUGUUUGGUUGAAGAAGCGGGGCUUCAGGCGUGACCACUUCAACGUGGAUUGACCGGUAAAACUUUAAGUAAAGCUUCAGGCCGCAGUUAAAUACUGGACGCUAGUUAAGUGGAGUUAUUGGUCAAGCUGCGGGGAGCGCUUUUAAAUUAACAUAGGACUUAGAAAUCUGGCCCCUUUGUCCCGGACAGAGAAGGGUGUAUUGACCAGCAAGGUGGGCAAACCUGGGCUUAGAGGCUUUUAAAUUAAGUCAAAAUGGUAGGAUGACUAGUACUAAAGGAAGAUGAUGUGAAGUUGUGAUUUGGAAAGGAAAAUUAUUUAUCUUGGCAGUCGGUGUCUUUAUAAAUGUGUGAAUGUAUAAAUGAAGUGUAAAAUUGUUAUUUGGAUGAAUGAUUAAAGGUGCACAUUGUUUUGAGAGAAAAGGGUGUGGUAUGUGUGUGUG